rnacentral:tRNA from 1 species
UGCGGAAUUAGUUUAAUGGUAAAAUAUCUGAUUGCCAUUCAGAAGUUAAGAGUUCGAUUCUCUUAUUCCGCAUCAC